GGAGAGGAAAGAAAUCAACCUCGUUGCAAUCCAAACCCUAAUUUCUAUCUCUUUUGGGAGAAGGAAGAAAGUAUACUCUUGAUCCCCUAUCCCUAGUUCCCUCCUUCUUUCAUCCUUUUUACCAUUUCCUUGAGUGUAGAUACUGGUAAGAGAAGGUGCAAUCUCCAGAGAAUAUCAACAAAGUCACGUUGUAAAGAUGACAAGUGAAAAUGAAAGUGAGGAUGAUGAUGACGCAGACAAUGAAAAUGAUAAUGACAGUUGAUUGGAUCAGUAAUUUACCAUUAUUUGCAAAGGGAAGGAUUCGGUUGAAGUGUGGAAAGGCUAGGAGGAGAAGAAGGGGCUACUCCUAAAAUGAUUUGGCAGAAUCAUGGAUGUGAAGGGACUUUCUAUACCUCAAAUUAGGACCCAUCUUCAGGUUGAAAAAAAAAAAAAAUCCUUCUUUUAUGUCCCUUUCCCUAUCCUGGUUUGCAUUAUCUGCAGCUCUGAAUGUAAAUACUGAAUAUAAUACUACGGCACCAUCCACUUGAAGAAGGAAGUGUACAUACAUCCUCCUAUUAUCAUGCUCUGCGAAUGCUUCUGAGCGGUAGAGUACUCAGUCUCGAUAAACUUGCAGAAAACUUUGGCUUGAUAUGCUCACAAGACAUUGUGUUUUGCUGCUUAGGAAACAUCAGUCAGUAUCAUCCAUCAAAGAUAACCCGGCCCUCAAGUAAUUAAUUAGCUAGAAGAUGAGAAUGUCAUGUAUUUCUUGGUGAUGACCAUCUGAUUAGAUAUGAGUGUUGUUGAUUGGAUUAGUGACUUACCAUGUGUAAGGAUUUUGGAUAAUCUUGAUGUCACAUUUUAAUGAAAUGAAAUUAUAUUUAUUUUAUUACAA